rnacentral:rRNA from 1 species
GCCCAGACUCCUACGGGAGGCAGCAGUGAGGAAUAUUGGUCAAUGGUCGGGAGACUGAACCAGCCAAGCCGCGUGAGGGAGGAAGGUACAGAGUAUCGUAAACCUCUUUUGUCAGGGAACAAAGGCGGGGACGUGUCCCCGGAUGAGUGUACCUGAAGAAAAAGCAUCGGCUAACUCCGUGCCAGCAGCCGCGGUAAUACGGAGGAUGCGAGCGUUAUCCGGAUUUAUUGGGUUUAAAGGGUGCGCAGGCGGUCUGUUAAGUCAGCGGUAAAAUUGCGGGGCUCAACCCCGUCGAGCCGUUGAAACUGACAGACUUGAGUUGGCGAGAAGUACGCGGAGUGCGCGGUGUAGCGGUGAAAUGCAUAGAUAUCGCGCAGAACUCCGAUUGCGAAGGCAGCGUACCGGCGCCAGACUGACGCUGAGGCACGAAAGCGUGGGGAUCGAACAGGAUUAGAUACCCUUGUA